GAGAGGAAGGGAAGCAGACUCCCCACUGAGCAGAGAGCCGGACUUGGGGCUCGAUCCCAGGACCCUCGUGAACUGAGCAGAAGGCAGAGGCUUUAACCCACUGAGCCACCCAAGCGCCCCACAAAGGAGGUCUUUAUAAAGAUACAUGUUGAAGAUGAUGGAGUUUCUAACAUCCUCACUGACCUACUUUGGACUGUUCUGUGAGC
rnacentral:lncRNA from 1 species